rnacentral:snRNA from 1 species
UCAACUAGCCCCGAAAAUGGAUG